rnacentral:rRNA from 1 species
UACGGGGGGGCAAGCGUUGUUCGGAAUUACUGGGCGUAAAGGGUCCGUAGGUGGCUUGCUAAGUCAGACGUGAAAUCCCUCGGCUUAACCGGGGAACUGCGUCUGAGACUGGCGAGCUUGAGUGCAGGAGAGGAACGCGGAAUUCCAGGUGUAGCGGUGAAAUGCGUAGAUAUCUGGAGGAACACCGGUGGCGAAGGCGGCUAUCUGGAUGAGUAUUGACGCUGAGGCGCGAAAGCGUGGGGAUCAAACAGG